UACAGAGGUCCCGAGCGUUGUUCGGAUUCACUGGGCGUAAAGGGUGCGUAGGCGGUCGGUUAAGUCUGAUGUGAAAUCUCACAGCUUAACUGUGAAACUGCAUUGGAUACUAUUCGGCUUGAGGUCUGGAGGGGGGACUGGAAUUCUUGUUGUAGCAGUGAAAUGCGUAGAUAUCAAGAGGAACACCAGUGGCGAAGGCGAGUCCCUGGACAGGUCCUGACGCUGAGGCGCGAAAGCUAGGGGAGCAAACAGG
rnacentral:rRNA from 1 species